GCUUGCUCCUUGAUUCAGCGGCGGACGGGUGAGUAAUACCUAGGAAUCUGCCUGAUAGUGGGGGACAACGUUUCGAAAGGAACGCUAAUACCGCAUACGUCCUACGGGAGAAAGCAGGGGACCUUCGGGCCUUGCGCUAUCAGAUGAGCCUAGGUCGGAUUAGCUAGUUGGUGAGGUAAUGGCUCACCAAGGCGACGAUCCGUAACUGGUCUGAGAGGAUGAUCAGUCACACUGGAACUGAGACACGGUCCAGACUCCUACGGGAGGCAGCAGUGGGGAAUAUUGGACAAUGGGCGAAAGCCUGAUCCAGCCAUGCCGCGUGUGUGAAGAAGGUCUUCGGAUUGUAAAGCACUUUAAGUUGGGAGGAAGGGCAGUAAGCUAAUACCUUGCUGUUUUGACGUUACCGACAGAAUAAGCACCGGCUAACUCUGUGCCAGCAGCCGCGGUAAUACAGAGGGUGCAAGCGUUAAUCGGAAUUACUGGGCGUAAAGCGCGCGUAGGUGGUUCGUUAAGUUGGAUGUGAAAUCCCCGGGCUCAACCUGGGAACUGCAUCCAAAACUGGCGAGCUAGAGUAGGGCA
rnacentral:rRNA from 1 species